AUGCAAAAUGUCAUAGCUGGAGCCAUCUAAUGGGCUUGCUAACCCCAUCUAUCAUUUAGAGAGCUUUAAAACUCUGAUACUUCUUCAUGGGGCAACCAAUGUGAUUCUCUAUUGAGUAUUCUCCUCAACUUUAAGGAAGGUUGUCUGGCAUUGGUACUCAAACCUUCAACCAAACAUAGUUAGUUCUUUCGGUCAACUUGGACAAAUGUACAUCACCCACUUUAUU
rnacentral:lncRNA from 1 species